rnacentral:rRNA from 1 species
CAGUCGCCGCGGUAAUACGAAGGGUGCAAGCGUUAAUCGGAAUUACUGGGCGUAAAGCGUGCGUAGGCGGUUUGUUAAGUCUGUUGUGAAAUCCCCGGGCUCAACCUGGGAAUGGCAAUGGAUACUGGCAAGCUAGAGUGUGUCAGAGGAUGGUGGAAUUCCCGGUGUAGCGGUGAAAUGCGUAGAGAUCGGGAGGAACAUCAGUGGCGAAGGCGGCCAUCUGGGACAACACUGACGCUGAGGCACGAAAGCAUGGGGAGCAAACAGGAUUAGAUACCCGGGUAGUCCCUGUCUCUUAUAC